rnacentral:rRNA from 1 species
AGCAGCCGCGGUAAUUCCAGCUCCAAUAGCGUAUAUUAAAGUUGUUGCAGUUAAAAAGCUCGUAGUUGAAUUUCGAGAUCAGUACGCUGGUCGUGCCUUCGGUAUGUACUGGUGUCACUGGUUUCUCCCUUCUGAAGAACCGUUAUGUCAUUAAGUUGGUGUGGCGGGGAAUCAGGACUGUUACUUUGAAAAAUUAGAGUGUUUAAAGCAGGCUCGCGCUUGAAUACAUUAGCAUGGAAUAAUGAAAUAGGACGUUUGACCCUAUUUUGUUGGUUUCUAGGAUCGACGUAAUGAUUAAUAGGGAUAGUUGGGGGCAUUAGUAUUCAAUUGUCAGAGGUGAAAUUCUUGGAUUUAUUGAAGACUAACUACUGCGAAAGCAUUUGCCAAGGAUGUUUUCAUUAAUCAAGAACGAAAGUUAGGGGAUCGAAGACGAUCAGAUACCGUCGUAGUCUUAACCAUAAACUAUGCCGACUAGGGAUCGGAUGAUGUUAAUUUUUAAUGUACUCA